rnacentral:pre_miRNA from 1 species
CUACUACUCCCUCCGUCCGAAAAUACUUGUCAUUGAAAUGGAUGUAUCUAGAUGUAUUUUAGUUCUAGACACAUCCAUUUUGAUGAUAAGUAAUUCCGGACGGAGGGAGUAUUAU